UAGUUCAGUUGGUAAAGAAUCUGCCUGCAAUGCAGGAGACCCAGGUUCAAUUCCUGG
rnacentral:tRNA from 1 species